GCUUCUCUUGAGAGCGGCGGACGGGUGAGUAAUGCCUAGGAAUCUGCCUGGUAGUGGGGGAUAACGUCCGGAAACGGACGCUAAUACCGCAUACGUCCUACGGGAGAAAGCAGGGGACCUUCGGGCCUUGCGCUAUCAGAUGAGCCUAGGUCGGAUUAGCUAGUUGGUGGGGUAAUGGCUCACCAAGGCGACGAUCCGUAACUGGUCUGAGAGGAUGAUCAGUCACACUGGAACUGAGACACGGUCCAGACUCCUACGGGAGGCAGCAGUGGGGAAUAUUGGACAAUGGGCGAAAGCCUGAUCCAGCCAUGCCGCGUGUGUGAAGAAGGUCUUCGGAUUGUAAAGCACUUUAAGUUGGGAGGAAGGGCAGUAAAUUAAUACUUUGCUGUUUUGACGUUACCGACAGAAUAAGCACCGGCUAACUCUGUGCCAGCAGCCGCGGUAAUACAGAGGGUGCAAGCGUUAAUCGGAAUUACUGGGCGUAAAGCGCGCGUAGGUGGUUCGUUAAGUUGGAUGUGAAAUCCCCGGGCUCAACCUGGGAACUGCAUUCAAAACUGACGAGCUAGAGUAUGGUAGAGGGUGGUGGAAUUUCCUGUGUAGCGGUGAAAUGCGUAGAUAUAGGAAGGAACACCAGUGGCGAAAGCGACCACCUGGACUGAUACUGACACUGAGGUGCGAAAGCGUGGGGA
rnacentral:rRNA from 1 species